CCCUGUAUCGAAAGUGACCAUGGCGUCCUCGUCGUCAGGUCAUUGAUAGUACAGGAAGAUGAAGCUGAGAGCCUUUCCCGUGUUUGAAGGACUUCCUGUUCCUGUCAGACCCUGGCGCUCUCACACA
ensembl:snoRNA SNORA71 Small nucleolar RNA SNORA71